rnacentral:lncRNA from 1 species
GCAAAAAGCAAGUGUGUGUGUGUGUGUGUAAGCUUUAGUUCUUCAGAUUCUAGAAUAGAGGUGGCCAUCAUCACAACAAGUGGGGGGUGGGUGUGCGUUUUGAUCAAAGGGAAGGGAGGGAAGGGGGCUUUGGAGAGUGUGCCUGCCUCCUCCCCUUCCCUUGCCUCCCUUUCACAGCAGAAGGGGAGGGGGAAGAGCAGGUCCUCAUUCUG